UACGUAGGUGGCAAGCGUUGUCCGGAUUUACUGGGCGUAAAGGGCGUGCAGGCGGUUUGUUAAGUCUAGGGUGAAAGCUCCCGGCUCAACUGGGAGAGGUCCUUGGAUACUGGCAGACUUGAGGAGAGUAGAGGAGAGUGGAAUUCCCGGUGUAGUGGUGAUAUGCGUAGAUAUCGGGAGGAACACCAGUGGCGAAGGCGGCUCUCUGGGCUCUACCUGACGCUGAGACGCGAAAGCGUGGGGAGCGAGCCGG
rnacentral:rRNA from 1 species